rnacentral:rRNA from 1 species
UACGGAGAGUGCAAGCGUUAUCCGGAUUCACUGGGUUUAAAGGGUGCGUAGGCGGGCAGGUAAGUCAGUGGUGAAAUCUCCGGGCUUAACCCGGAACUGCCGUUGAUACUAUCUGUCUUGAAUAUCGUGGAGGUAAGCGGAAUAUGUCAUGUAGCGGUGAAAUGCUUAGAUAUGACAUAGAACACCGAUUGCGAAGGCAGCUUACUACACGAUCAUUGACGCUGAGGCACGAAAGCGUGGGGAGCAAACAGG